AGAAAUCCGAUUACAGAGGCAAGAGAAUAUUAUAUGGAUGCUGAUGAUAUUGAAGGGACCCUGUGGCAGUUACCCCGACAUCUGGUUGCUGAAAGAGCUAGACUGCAGUGUCUGAAGAAAUGUCAUGAGAACUACUUACAGACUUUGAAAGCUAUUCCUAGAACUUUGAGGAUUAUGUGACAUGGGAUGCACCCCAAGUUCCGUGAGACUGGAAGGACUCUGUAAAGAUAAUUAAAGACCAUUUACUGCCGAAACAAAAAGCUAGAGGAGAAAGUUUUGAAGUUUAAGCAUGCAAUUUAAAUUGAUUUCUUGUAUCAAUAACUUAAACCCUUUUGCACCAUUAUAUAUAUUUAGAGAGCUCUCAUUCUCAUGCAUAUGAACUUGAUGGCUUUAUUUGAAUUCUGAAUCUAGAGAAAUCACAACUAGAAGCAUCAUCUCAUCAAAGGUUAUUCAUAUGGAUUA